rnacentral:sRNA from 1 species
UAACUAUUACAAGCAUGCUUCACUCGCUAUGACCCGUUAUAUAAGCAUAAAGUACCAUGCAUCUACUAUCCUCGAGGCCAGGUGCUAUAUGACAGAAGAAUAUACAAAUAAUUAAGAGUGCUAAUCCACUGUAAAUAGUAGUUAGCAAUCAUUAACUAUAGUAAGUUAUGAUUUGAGACUAGAAGAGAGAUAUAUAGUAUUCACUGCUCACUUGUUAUAUUGCCCUAGCUUUAGCUCUAAUUAUGUGAUCAUAACAGUUGAAUUUCAUAUAAAUGUUGUGUCUUCAAGCUGAGAGAUGUUGAUUUUUGAUGUGCAUUG